rnacentral:rRNA from 1 species
GACGAACGCUGGCGGCGUGCUUAACACAUGCAAGUCGAACGGUAAGGCCCUGCCUUGGUGGGCUGCUCGAGUGGCGAACGGGUGAGUAACACGUGGGUAACCUGCCCUUUACUUUGGGAUAACUUCAGGAAACUGUGGCUAAUACCGGAUAGGAGCUCCUGCUGCAUGGUGGGGGCUGGAAAGUUUCGGCGGUUGGGGUUGGACGCGCGGCUUAUCAGCUUGUUGGUGGGGUAGUGGCUUACCAACGCGUUGACGGGUAGCCGGCCUGAGAGGGUGACCGGCCACAGUGGGCCUGAGGUACGACCCAGACGGCUACGGGAGGCAGGGGUGGGGAAUAGAGCACGAUGCGCGGAAGCCGGAUGCAGGAACGUCGCGUGCGGGAUGACGGUCGUCAGGUUGGAAACCGCGUGCGCGUGUAAAGAUGCGAGUGUGACGGUAACGUAUAAAGAAGCACCGGCUAACUACGUG